CCACAAUAUUCAUCAGAUAAUGAGGCAAAAACACUCCAAACUAUCCACAGAGGUCAAUUUUAUAUUAAUGUUAUUUUUUAAUGGUGCAAAGUUGGAGCUGAUUCAUGUGCAAGUGUGCAGGCUUAUUUUAAAUUAAAAAAAAACAAAACGUUUUUGUGAAUUUUUUUGAAACUGAAAAAAGUGUUUAGUACUCACCUAUCUGACCAUCUUCAUCAGUCUACUUUCACACAGGAUGUGUCUUCUCUCAUUCUUUCACGAUAGAGGCCCCCCCCGCCCCCGCCCCCAACUUUGACGUCAUCUCGCCCUCACUUAUUCUGAGGCGGUUGUUUUACAAUUCUGCUGCUUUUUAAUUAAUUAAUCAGUCAGAUUAAAGGUAAUGUUUGAGCUUUAUCUGACGGUUUAAGUGCAGACAGGAUUUAUCCACAUUUUGGACCAGAGGAGCAGCUACUUUAUUAUAACAGCUGACGGUGUAACAGCUGACACAUCGGGUGAUGUGUAGAGAAGAACACCAAAACAACGUAUACCGUCAGAUCCUGACCCGCCCAGGCAUCUGGUUUUAUGGUCCUGCAAACGUGUCCCGCCUGAGUAAAGUUGAAGUUCUCCAACAUCCUCACUAUGCAUCAGUGGAACCAAAGGUAAGAGUGGCCCACAGACCAGCUUUGUGCAUCCAGCUGACAGCAGAGCUUUUUGCAGGCUGAUGGGCCAGUGAGUGCACUGCCUCUGCUACACCAUAAAACUCACUUGACUCUUCACUCAUCCUUCGGAUCUGAGCCACUUUCCCCUCUUCAGUAAUAAACUACUUUCAGGACGGCACUCUUCUGGACAGAGAUCUUGGAUGUUGUUGCUUGGAUCUGCUGGAACCACCUGCCCAGUUUGGGAGACCCAUAGUGCUUCGAUUACCUCAGGGACUUCCUUCACCCUCCACAUCUUCUCUAACUACUCUCUUAGCCCUUGGUAUUUGUAAAGCUUCUUUUCUUCCUUCUUCCUGAUGUUGCUGUCACUUGACAUUGCGCCCCAUCACUGGGGCCUUCUUCCUCAGCUUAACUUUGCCAGUUUGUCUGUUUAUAUCUGGAAGUUACAAUGAAUCUUAGGCUGGUCAUUCUCAUCGACCCUAGGGGGGGUGUCCCAUUUUGACCUUAGGCCAUAGUCAUCACAGAUGUUCCUGCAUACUAUGCCACUUGGUUAUGGUGUUCCAUGUAUGCGCUGCCCGCUAGCAUCUUACUGUAAGAUUACAGUUUUCAGUGAUAGUCUGACAGUUUCCUUCGCAGUUUGUAACACGUUUGCAAUACGUUACUAUACUAAAUUGUCUAAUUACAUUACAGGUACAAAUAUGUUGUUACUUGCGUUAUAAAGGUUCUUAAGUUAUCUUAACAGCUGCUGGAUAGAAAGAAAAAAUAACAUUAAGUGAACACGUUUUUUCUUCCUGCGCACUUCACUGUCAAUCUGCUCAUUUUAAUUCAUGUGUAGGAGAAAGAAAAUGCUGGAACAGUGCAGCAACACAGCUUUUCAGGAAAGGAGAUAUAGACUUUGCACACUCAUUUACAUUUAAGGAAAGUAAUGUGUUUAUAUAUAUAUAUAGAAACAGAGGUGUUAGAGUUUAAUCUAAAAAUGGGAUGAAAUUUCAAGGCAGAUCAAAACCCAAGUGGUAGAAUGUAACUGAGUAUGUUUAUCCAAGUACUUUCCUUAUGUAUUUGAAGUACUUGUGUCUUUCUUUUCAUGUCACUUUCUGCUUCUGUACUCUGCUCGAUCUUAGAGUGAAAUAUUGUCAUUUUGACUUCACUAGAUUUACCUAAAAAGCUUUAGUUAAUUUAGAUUUGCACACAAACCACAUAAAGAAACAAGAUGUUAAAGGAUUAGUUGACAGAAAAUUAGCAACUAUUUUAUUUAAAGUACAUGUGGGAGCAUUUCUCUUUUCAGAAUUUAGAAUAGUACAUGUUACUGUUUUUAGUGAGCAAUUCCAAGUAAAGUAAAGUAGGUCAAAGCAGUGAUUUUAGUUUGUUACCUGGUUGUUGGUACCAAACUAUAAUUCUAAGACUUCAUGCUCAGUGCAGUCUUUUUGCCACUAGAGGGCAAACUUUGUUUAAAAGUUAAUGGGUAAAUGACGUGUUCAAUAUAAAAGAGAGGAGUGUCUGCAAUGACAAGGAUCUCA